rnacentral:rRNA from 1 species
AUUGAACGCUGGCGGCAUGCUUUACACAUGCAAGUCGAACGGUAACAGGGGAGCUUGCUCCUGCUGACGAGUGGCGAACGGGUGAGUAAUGCAUCGGAACGUGCCGAAUAGUGGGGGAUAACGCACCGAAGGGUGUGCUAAUACCGCAUACGCCCUGAGGGGGAAAGCGGAGGACCGCAAGGCCUCACGCUAAACGAGCGGCCGAGGUCGGAUUAGUGAGUAGGUGGGGUAAAGGCCUACCGAGGCGACGAUCCGUAGCGGGUCUGAGAGGGUGAUCCGCCAGACUGGGACUGAGACACGGCCGAGACUCCUACGGGAGGCAGCAGUGGGGAAUUUUGGACAAUGGGGGUAACCCUGAUCCAGCCAUGCCGCGUGUCUGAAGAAGGCCUUCGGGUUGUAAAGGACUUUUGUCCGGGAGGAAACCCUGGUCGUGAACAACGGCCGGGACUGACAGUACCGGAAGAAUAAGCACCGGCUAACUACGUGCCAGCCGCCGCCGUAA